rnacentral:lncRNA from 1 species
ACAGAUGACAUCUCUUUACAGCAGCUCAAUCUGGUUUCGGAGAAGGAGGUCAUGAAGCUAAAACAGCAACGUUUGUGCUCAGGCUUCAUCUGUUACAGAUAUAGAAGCACUGAACAGAUAAGGUUUCGUUCAAACAAGUCCAGACAGCUGUUGUGCAUUGGUAUUUCACAUGGCCUUGCAAGGAAGGAAAGUGGAGCAUCAGCUGCUGUAUAUUGUCAU